UACGAAGGGGGCUAGCGUUGCUCGGAAUCACUGGGCGUAAAGGGUGCGUAGGCGGCCCGUCAAGUCCCGUGUGAAAGCCCCCGGCUCAACCGGGGAACGGCGCGGGAAACUAGCAGGCUUGAGUUCGGGAGAGGGAAGCGGAAUUCCGGGUGUAGCGGUGAAAUGCGCAGAUAUCCGGAGGAACACCGGUGGCGAAGGCAGCAAACUGGGCAUCAUCUGACGCUGAGGCGCGAAAGCGUGGGUAGCAAACAGG
rnacentral:rRNA from 1 species